rnacentral:tRNA from 1 species
GGAUUGAAAAUCCUCGUGUCGGUGGUUCGAUCCCGCCUCUGGGCACCA